AACGUAGGGGGCCAGCGUUGCUCGGAAUCACUGGGCGUAAAGCGCACGUAGGCGGCUUCUUAAGUCAGGGGUGAAAUCCUGGAGCUCAACUCCAGAACUGCCCUUGAUACUGAGGAGCUCGAGUCCGGAAGAGGUGAGUGGAACUGCGAGUGUAGAGGUGAAAUUCGUAGAUAUUCGCAAGAACACCAGUGGCGAAGGCGGCUCACUGGCCCGAUACUGACGCUGAGGUGCGAAAGCGUGGGGAGCAAACAGG
rnacentral:rRNA from 1 species